rnacentral:rRNA from 1 species
UACGUAGGGUGCGAGCGUUGUCCGGAAUUAUUGGGCGUAUAGAGCUCGUAGGCGGUUCGUCGCGUCGAAUGUGAAAACCCGGGGCUCAACUCCGGGCCUGCAUUCGAUACGGGCGGACUAGAGUUCGGUAGGGGAGACUGGAAUUCCUGGUGUAGCGGUGAAAUGCGCAGAUAUCAGGAGGAACACCGGUGGCGAAGGCGGGUCUCUGGGCCGAUACUGACGCUGAGGAGCGAAAGCGUGGGGAGCGAACAGG